CGGCUGUAGCUAUAUUUAAAUCAAAUCGGCUGUGAAGUUAACUGGCCGGUUAUCGUUCUCCGUCGAAUAAUCUGCUUACCGAACUUCACACAUUU